rnacentral:tRNA from 1 species
UAGCUCAGUUGGUUAGAGCGUGGUGCUAAUAACGCCAAGGUCACGGGUUCAACCCCCGUAAGGGCCA